GAUUAAGUAGGUAAGGGCGCAUGGUGGAUGCCUCGGCAUGGGCAGGCGAUGAAGGGCGUGGCAAGCUGCGAUAAGCCGCGGGGAGCCGCAAGCAGGCUGUGAUCCGCGGAUUCCCGAAUGGGGCAACCCGGCCGGUCGAAGACCGGUCAUCCACGGGCUGAAUCCAUAGGCCCGUGGAGGCGAACCCGGGGAACUGAAACAUCUCAGUACCCGGAGGAAAAGAAAGCAACCGCGAUUCCCUGAGUAGUGGCGAGCGAAAGGGGAACAGCCCAAACCGGCGUCGUUUCGGCGGCGCCGGGGUUGUAGGGCCCGCCAUAUGGGAUCGGAAGGUGAAGUCGAAGCGUGCUGGAAAGCCGCGCCAUAGAGGGUGAUAGCCCCGUAGGCGUAAGCCGACCGAUCUCGGCGGUGUCCCUGAGUACCACGGGACCGGUGGAAUCCUGUGGGAAGCUGCCAGCACCAUCUGGCAAGGCUAAAUACUCGCCCAUGACCGAUAGCGCACUAGUACCGUGAGGGAAAGGUGAAAAGAACGCCUAGUAGGCGAGUGAAAAGGACCUGAAACCAUGCGCCUACAACCAGUCGGAGCCUCUUGCCGGACCAAAGUCCGGCAAUGGGGUGACGGCGUGCCUUUUGCAGAAUGAGCCUACGAGUUGCUCCUCUCUGGCAGGCUAAGUGCCUCAGGCACGGAGCCGCAGCGAAAGCGAGUCCGAACAGGGCGCCAGAGUCAGAGGGGGCAGACGCGAAACCGGGUGAGCUACCCUUGGCCAGGUUGAAGCGUGGGUAAGACCACGUGGAGGACCGAACCGGUUGGCGUUGAAAAGCCAUCGGAUGAGCUGAGGGUAGGGGUGAAAGGCCAACCAAACCCGGAGAUAGCUCGUACUCCCCGAAAUGCAUAGAGGUGCAGCGUCGCAGCCGAGUGUGCGGGAGGUAGAGCACUGGUUGGGCUAGGGCCCUUCACCGGGUACCAAACCCAGUCAAACUCCGAAUGCCCGCACAUGCUCUGCGGCAGUGAGGGCAUGGGCGAUAAGGUCCAUGUCCGAGAGGGGGACAACCCAGACCGACAGCUAAGGCCCCCAAGUCCAGGCUAAGUUGGGCAAAGGAGGUCGGGCUGCUAAGACAACCAGGAGGUUGGCUUAGAAGCAGCCAUUCCUUUAAAGAGUGCGUAACAGCUCACUGGUCGAGCGGCCCGGCGCCGAAAAUUGUCGGGCAUCAAGCCUGGCGCCGAAGCUUCGGGUUUGCAGCCUUCGGGCUGCAAGCGGUAGGGGAGCAUUCCAGUUGCGCUGAAGUCGCCUCGUGAGGGGCGGUGGAGCGACUGGAAAAGAAAAUGUAGGCAUGAGUAACGAGAAGACGGGUGAAAAACCCGUCCGCCGUAAGCCCAAGGGUUCCUGCUCAACGCUAAUCGGAGCAGGGUUAGCCGGGUCCUAAGCCGAGGCCGAAAGGCGUAGGCGAUGGGAAACGGGUUAAUAUUCCCGUGCCACCCGAAGGCGCUAACCUGAGGCGUGACGCAGGAGCGUAAGGCCCGCGCCCUGACGGAAUAGGGCGUUGAAGCCCGUAGGCUGGGUGGUAGGCAAAUCCGCCACCCGCUAAGGCCGAAAGGCGACAGUAGGGGGACCCGCAAGGGAAACCCAUAGAGGCCCCAAGCACACUGCCAAGAAAAGCGUCGCAGGUUGUCUUCGGGUGCCCGUACCGGAAACCGACACAGGUGGGCGAGGCGAGUAUCCUCAGGCGCUCGAGUGAUCCGUGGCUAAGGAACUCGGCAAAUUGGCCCCGUAACUUCGGGAGAAGGGGCGCCUCCUCCCAUCCAAAAGCGGGAGGGGGCCGCAGUGACCAGGCCCAGGCGACUGUUUAACAAAAACACAGCUCUCUGCGAACUCGUAAGAGGACGUAUAGGGAGUGACACCUGCCCGGUGCCGGAAGGUUAAGGAAGGGGGUUAUCUCGGCCUCGUGCCGGGAGAAGCUCCCGACCGAAGCCCCGGUAAACGGCGGCCGUAACUAUAACGGUCCUAAGGUAGCGAAAUUCCUUGUCGGGUAAGUUCCGACCUGCACGAAUGGUGUAACGACCUGGGCACUGUCUCGGCCACGGGCUCGGUGAAAUUGUGGUGCCAGUGAAGACGCUGGCUACCCGCCGCGGGACGGAAAGACCCCGUGCACCUUUACUGCAGCCUGGCAUUGACGCCGGCCAGGGCGUGUGCAGGAUAGGCGGGAGGCUGUGAAGCCGGGGCGCCAGCUCCGGUGGAGCCGCCCUUGAGAUACCGCCCUCGCUCUGGCUGGCGCCUAACCCACGGCCGUUAUCCGGUCGGGGGACAGUGUCAGGUGGGUGGUUUGACUGGGGCGGUCGCCUCCUAAAGAGUAACGGAGGCUCCCAAAGGUCCCCUCAGCACGGUCGGUAAUCGUGCGUAGAGUGCAAGGGCAUAAGGGGGCUUGACUGCGAGACUCACAAGUCGAGCAGGGGCGAAAGCCGGGCCUAGUGAUCCGGCGGUUCCGAAUGGAAGGGCCGUCGCUCAAAGGAUAAAAGGUACGCCGGGGAUAACAGGCUGAUCGGGGCCAAGAGUUCACAUCGACGCCCCGGUUUGGCACCUCGAUGUCGGCUCAUCGCAUCCUGGGGCUGGAGAAGGUCCCAAGGGUUGGGCUGUUCGCCCAUUAAAGCGGUACGUGAGCUGGGUUCAGAACGUCGUGAGACAGUUCGGUCCCUAUCUGCGGCGGGCGCAGGAGGCUUGAGCGGAGCUGCCCCUAGUACGAGAGGACCGGGGUGGACGGACCUCUAGUGUACCAGUUGUGCCGCCAGGUGCACCGCUGGGUAGCUAUGUCCGGAAGGGAUAAGCGCUGAAAGCAUCUAAGCGCGAAGCCCACCGCAAGAUGAGGCCUCCCCUGCGGGCCGUCCGAGACCAGGACGUCGAUAGGCGGCAGGUGUAAGCGGGGUAACCCGUUGAGCCGAGCCGUACUAAUCGCCCGCGUGACUUAAUCCC
rfam:Rhodothermus marinus DSM 4252, complete genome.